AACACUGCUUCCUCCUAGUGUCAGGAAACGGACUUCGCUGCGAGCUCAGCCCCUCGCUGCGCACGCGCGGCUGCAGGCCGAGGCGUUUGUGACGGUCGCGUGGGUCACAUUUCUCGUCAGCGCGGGCCAGGUUGAGACCUCCCGAGGGACUCUGUGCUGGAGGCACCGCGAGUAGUCCUGGGAAAGGCCAUAAAGGAGUCAGAAAGAACGGUUCUUUGCACAGUUAGGGUUGAGGCAAAUAAAAAUUACUGGCUCCCACACUUAACUGCUUAGCUUGAACAAACCCAAGACUCGUUUACUGAAGCAUUCAACAUGUCCUCUGUCAAUAGAGCAGUUUCAGGUGUGCACUUCAACAAUCCUAUACAUUACUCAAUGCUCAUCAAGAUAAGUGUAUUCUGCCUUUCAUGAAGGGACAUCUUCCCCACGAAAACAUGCCUCUCUCCAAGGACCUCCUCCACCCCUCCCCAGGAGAGGAGGAGAGGAAGCGGAAGAAGAAGUGCCUGACUACGUAACUGGCUCCAAAGAAGCAGAUUUAGGGGGUGCAAAGAGUCUGGCCCAUGGAGUCCUAUGUUGGGAGAGGCUUCUGGAACUGCGACAUGAAGAUGGAGGGCUCCACUCUGCCUUCGUGGCCUCUGUAACAACUAGAGGCAACUAUCCAUGGCUGUUUCCGCAGCCAUCAUAUGGUACCCACUUCACCAGUUGUUGUGACCUUGACAUUAGCUCAGUGGCAUGUAUGAACCAACCCUCAUGGAAGGAAUAUUAA
rnacentral:lncRNA from 1 species